rnacentral:lncRNA from 1 species
UGUUUAGCAUAAAAAGUUGUUAAAUAUAUCAUACCCUGUGUUCCGAACUGGCGGCAGAUUUUAGCAAUGUUUAAUUGUAAGAAAUAGCCAUGUACUACUUAAUUGCAUAACUAGGUGGAACAUAAAAAUCACAAUUACAUGAAUUAUAUUAAGUAAAAUAUGUUAAAAUAGUUUGUUUUUCGAUGGUGGAAUUUUAUGGACACCAUAAUGAAACUGAAGUACAUUUUUAAUUACCUAAUUAUUGCUAUUUUCAAAGUCCAUUUACACCAUAAUUGUUCCUGUUUUCAUAGUCCAAAGAGUCCUUGACAGAAAGACUCAGUAGGAUCUAAAAUAAGGAUUCAUUCUUCAGACAGCUCGGGCUUGUGGCUCCCCCCGCCCCGCCCCGACUUCGAGAAUCUACCUCGGAAGCAAUCGUUCAUCAUUUAUGCAACAAGUAAUCGGUAUGUAAAGCCACCGGGUGUAUUAGAGGGGUAGGGACGUGCAGGGGGAGCUGUGCUUCCAGCCCUCGGGCGACUUACUGUCUGGCUACUGGCCCGUGCUGAGGGUCAGCGCCUGGAUGUCCCUGCCGAGGCCUGAGUGAGAAAUUCCUGGCAGGGUCAGAGAGCCCGGGCCUGCCUGGCUCUCUGAACUCUCAGACCAAGUGGGGUUGGACCAACUGGGCUGGGUUUUGGAACCCCGGGCCUUCCAAGGCCUCCGCGAGCUCUCCAUCACUCACGUCAUUUAAAAUACGUCUUCCUGUGAGGGAAAUGGGUUCCAGCCACAGAGUAACUGGAGACUCCAUGAGUCACUGCGGUUAAGACAGAUCAUUGAAUUCUCCUCGGAUGUGACUCCGGAGCCGGGAGGCCACGGAGUCUGGACAGCAGCCGAGAGGAGCCAGCUCUGAUGGUGGCACGGCCCCAGGAAGCGCCUCCGGCCUACUGGGUCCUUCCCUCUGGAGGGCCCUUUGGGUUCCAAAUUCAAUUGAAACAGGAUCCAAUAAUACCAGUGACACCUGAUUGGGAAGCUAACCUGACCUGGUGCUUUUGGAAGGGAGUAGAAAGGAAAGUUUCACUAGACGGAUGCAAGGACACUGAGCCGGAAAGCUCUCAGUGUUUGCAGAACCCCAGAACGCCUCCACCGAGCCCCACGAUCCUCAGCACAGAGUUUGGACACCCGCAGGUCGGGAUAGAGGGAGGGCCCAGAGGUGGAGUCACGCGGCCUGCUGACCUCUGCUCCGGCCUGGUGGCUCUGGCCUGGUGACUCACGCUCCUGAGCUCCAGCAUCCCCCUGGGUAAAACACAGUACCCACCCC